UGGUAAGGUAACGGCUUACCAUGGCGACGAUAGGUAGGGGUCCUGAGAGGGAGAUCCCCCACACUGGUACUGAGACACGGACCAGACUCCUACGGGAGGCAGCAGUGAGGAAUAUUGGACAAUGGAGGCAACUCUGAUCCAGCCAUGCCGCGUGCAGGAAGACGGCCCUAUGGGUUGUAAACUGCUUUUAUACAGGAAGAAACACUCCCUCGUGAGGGAGCUUGACGGUACUGUAAGAAUAAGGACCGGCUAACUCCGUGCCAGCAGCCGCGGUAAUACGGAGGGUCCGAGCGUUAUCCGGAAUCAUUGGGUUUAAAGGGUCCGUAGGCGGAUUAUUAAGUCAGAGGUGAAAUCCCACAGCUUAACUGUGGAACUGCCUUUGAAACUGAUAGUCUUGAGUUACCUGGAAGUAGAUAGAAUGUGUAGUGUAGCGGUGAAAUGCUUAGAGAUUACACAGAAUACCGAUUGCGAAGGCAGUCUACUACGAGUAUACUGACGCUAAUGGACGAAAGCGUGGGGAGCGAACAGGAUUAGAUACCCUGGUAGUCCACGCCGUAAACGAUGGACACUCGUUGUUGGGAUUUAUCUCAGUGACUAAGCGAAAGUGAUAAGUGUCCCACCUGGGGAGUACGGUCGCAAGAUUGAAACUCAAAGGAAUUGACGGGGGCCCGCACAAGCGGUGGAGCAUGUGGUUUAAUUCGAUGAUACGCGAGGAACCUUACCAGGGCUUAAAUGUAGAUUGACAGGUUUAGAGAUAGACUUUUCUUCGGACAAUUUACAAGGUGCUGCAUGGUUGUCGUCAGCUCGUGCCGUGAGGUGUCAGGUUAAGUCCUAUAACGAGCGCAACCCCUACCGUUAGUUGCCAUCAGGUCAUGCUGGGGACUCUAACGGGACUGCCGGUGCAAACCGCGAGG
rnacentral:rRNA from 1 species